rnacentral:rRNA from 1 species
UUAAGCGACUAAGCGUACACGGUGGAUGCCUAGGCAGUCAGAGGCGAUGAAGGGCGUGCUAAUCUGCGAAAAGCGUCGGUAAGCUGAUAUGAAGCGUAAUAACCGACGAUACCCGAAUGGGGAAACCCAGUGCAAUUCGUUGCACUAUUGCAUGGUGAAUACAUAGCCAUGCAAGGCGAACCGGGGGAACUGAAACAUCUAAGUACCCCGAGGAAAAGAAAUCAACCGAGAUUCCCCCAGUAGCGGCGAGCGAACGGGGAAGAGCCCAGAGUCUGAAUCAGUUGGUGUGUUAGUGGAAGCGUCUGGAAAGUCGCACGGUACAGGGUGAUAGUCCCGUACACAAAAACACACUGGCUGUGAACUCGAUGAGUAGGGCGGGACACGUGACAUCCUGUCUGAAUAUGGGGGGACCAUCCUCCAAGGCUAAAUACUCCUGACUGACCGAUAGUGAACCAGUACCGUGAGGGAAAGGCGAAAAGAACCCCGGCGAGGGGAGUGAAAUAGAACCUGAAACCGUGUACGUACAAGCAGUGGGAGCACCUUCGUGGUGUGACUGCGUACCUUUUGUAUAAUGGGUCAGCGACUUAUAUUUUGUAGCAAGGUUAACCGAAUAGGGGAGCCGUAGGGAAACCGAGUCUUAACUGGGCGUCUAGUUGCAAGGUAUAGACCCGAAACCCGGUGAUCUAGCCAUGGGCAGGUUGAAGGUUGGGUAACACUAACUGGAGGACCGAACCGACUAAUGUUGAAAAAUUAGCGGAUGACUUGUGGCUGGGGGUGAAAGGCCAAUCAAACCGGGAGAUAGCUGGUUCUCCCCGAAAGCUAUUUAGGUAGCGCCUCGUGAACUCAUCUUCGGGGGUAGAGCACUGUUUCGGCUAGGGGUCCAUCCCGGAUUACCAAACCGAUGCAAACUCCGAAUACCGAAGAAUGUUAUCACGGGAGACACACGGCGGGUGCUAACGUCCGUCGUGAAGAGGGAAACAACCCAGACCGCCAGCUAAGGUCCCAAAGUCAUGGUUAAGUGGGAAACGAUGUGGGAAGGCAUAGACAGCCAGGAUGUUGGCUUAGAAGCAGCCAUCAUUUAAAGAAAGCGUAAUAGCUCACUGGUCGAGUCGGCCUGCGCGGAAGAUGUAACGGGGCUAAACCAUGCACCGAAGCUGCGGCAGCGACGCUUAGGCGUUGUUGGGUAGGGGAGCGUUCUGUAAGCCGUUGAAGGUGGCCUGUGAGGGCUGCUGGAGGUAUCAGAAGUGCGAAUGCUGACAUAAGUAACGAUAAUGCGGGUGAAAAACCCGCACGCCGGAAGACCAAGGGUUCCUGUCCAACGUUAAUCGGGGCAGGGUGAGUCGACCCCUAAGGCGAGGCUGAAAAGCGUAGUCGAUGGGAAACAGGUUAAUAUUCCUGUACUGGGUGUGACUGCGAAGGGGGGACGGAGAAGGCUAGGCUAGCCGGGCGACGGUUGUCCCGGUUUAAGCAUGUAGGCGGAGCGACUUGGUAAAUCCGGUUGCUUAUCAACGCUGAGGUGUGAUGACGAGCCACUACGGUGGUGAAGUAGUUGAUGCCAAGCUUCCAGGAAAAGCCUCUAAGCAUCAGGUGACAUUCAAUCGUACCCCAAACCGACACAGGUGGUCAGGUAGAGAAUACUCAGGCGCUUGAGAGAACUCGGGUGAAGGAACUAGGCAAAAUGGUGCCGUAACUUCGGGAGAAGGCACGCUGGCAUUAGGUAAAGAGACUUGCUCUCGGCGCCGAAGCCAGUCGCAGAUACCAGCUGGCUGCAACUGUUUAAUAAAAACACAGCACUGUGCAAACACGAAAGUGGACGUAUACGGUGUGACGCCUGCCCGGUGCUGGAAGGUUAAUUGAUGGGGUCAGCCGCAAGGCGAAGCUCUUGAUCGAAGCCCCAGUAAACGGCGGCCGUAACUAUAACGGUCCUAAGGUAGCGAAAUUCCUUGUCGGGUAAGUUCCGACCUGCACGAAUGGCGUAAUGAUGGCCAGGCUGUCUCCACCCGAGACUCAGUGAAAUUGAACUCGCUGUGAAGAUGCAGUGUACCCGCGGCAAGACGGAAAGACCCCGUGAACCUUUACUAUAGCUUGACACUGAAUAUUGAGCCUUGAUGUGUAGGAUAGGUGGGAGGCAUUGAAGCGUGGACGCCAGUCUGCGUGGAGCCAACCUUGAAAUACCACCCUUUAAUGUUUGAUGUUCUAACUCGGCCCCAUAAUCUGGGGUGAGGACAGUGUCUGGUGGGUAGUUUGACUGGGGCGGUCUCCUCCCAAAGAGUAACGGAGGAGCACGAAGGUUAGCUAAUCACGGUCGGACAUCGUGAGGUUAGUGCAAAGGCAUAAGCUAGCUUGACUGCGAGAGUGACGGCUCGAGCAGGUACGAAAGUAGGUCUUAGUGAUCCGGUGGUUCUGAAUGGAAGGGCCAUCGCUCAACGGAUAAAAGGUACUCCGGGGAUAACAGGCUGAUACCGCCCAAGAGUUCAUAUCGACGGCGGUGUUUGGCACCUCGAUGUCGGCUCAUCACAUCCUGGGGCUGAAGUAGGUCCCAAGGGUAUGGCUGUUCGCCAUUUAAAGUGGUACGCGAGCUGGGUUUAGAACGUCGUGAGACAGUUCGGUCCCUAUCUGCCGUGGGCGUUGGAAGAUUGAGAGGGGCUGCUCCUAGUACGAGAGGACCGGAGUGGACGCAUCACUGGUGUUCGGGUUGUCAUGCCAAUGGCAUUGCCCGGUAGCUAAAUGCGGAAAAGAUAAGCGCUGAAAGCAUCUAAGCGCGAAACUUGCCUCGAGAUGAGUCUUCCCUGGGGCUUUAAGCCCCCUGAAGGAACGUUAAAGACUAUGACGUUGAUAGGCUGGGUGUGUAAGUGCAGCGAUGCAUUGAGCUAACCAGUACUAAUGAUCCGUGAGGCUUAACCU